UGGGGAAUAUUGGACAAUGGGGGCAACCCUGAUCCAGCCAUGCCGCGUGAGUGAUGAAGGCCCUAGGGUUGUAAAGCUCUUUCGGUGGGGAAGAUAAUGACGGUACCCACAGAAGAAGCCCCGGCUAACUUCGUGCCAGCAGCCGCGGUAAUACGAAGGGGGCUAGCGUUGCUCGGAAUCACUGGGCGUAAAGCGCACGUAGGCGGCUUUCUAAGUCAGGGGUGAAAUCCCGGAGCUCAACUCCGGAACUGCCUUUGAUACUGGGAGGCUCGAGUCCGGGAGAGGUGAGUGGAACUGCGAGUGUAGAGGUGAAAUUCGUAGAUAUUCGCAAGAACACCAGUGGCGAAGGCGGCUCACUGGCCCGGUACUGACGCUGAGGUGCGAAAGCGUGGGGAGCAAACAGG
rnacentral:rRNA from 2 species